CGUUGUGGCGCUGUUGCAAGUAGGCCGAUGUAAUCACCUCUGCUACGUCAACAUGCGGAAACAACAAACGACCACAAACCGGCUUGAAAGGUCUUUAAGCAGAGAUAAGGCAGUCUAUGGGUCGUCUUAGGGGACUAAGCACGCAGGAGGAAUUGGACAACAUUGUGAAAGGAACAUGCAGUGCACAAGUUUCGUUGUCCGUAAGAACAAUGGCAAGCGGCCACUCACCCCAUGAACCAGUCGACGGUGUCACGCAGGUACUCCGGUAAUCGCUCCAGCUUGACGGAUUCUCUCCGACUUACUUCUCAACAAAAAGUAACAGCACUGUAGUCUCAACGAGUCCCGCGCCUUAGCCACACACAAUCACAAACUGUCUCAUCACAAUGCGCGGUGAUAACCGACGGAUUACAACUAACUGUACUCUAAGAACGAAUAACAACUUAAAGUUUAUUAGAGCGUAACGUCGUCGCAGAACCCUAUCAUUGAAAAAUUUCACUGCAACAAUCCGAGCAGCUGAGCCAUAAUCGCCAUGUUGCGGUUGCGCAACUUAAACAAUGCAUAAAUAAAUAUUUCAAAACCGUACCUACAACUGUAAUGCUUAAGCACAAAAAUAAUAUGCGUAUUUCAAUUAAAUUUGAUAAAUUGAAUACAA